rnacentral:rRNA from 1 species
AUUGAACGCUAGCGGGAUGCCUUACACAUGCAAGUCGAACGGAGUGGCGAACGGGUGAGUAAUGUAUCGGAACGUGCCCAGUAGCGGGGGAUAACUACGCGAAAGCGUAGCUAAUACCGCAUACUAUUGGAGCGGCCGAUUGCGGAUUAGCUAGUUGGGGGGGUAACGGCUCACCAAGGCGACGAUCCGUAGCUGGUUUGAGAGGACGACCAGCCAAACGGGGACGGAGACACGGCCCAGAGUCUGACGGGAGGCAGCAGGGGGGAAGUUUGGCAAAUGGGGGGAACCCUGAUCCAGCCAGCCCGCGUGGGCGAUGAAGGCCUGCGGGUUGUAAAGCACUGUUGGCAGGAAAGCGGUACCUGAAGAAUAAGAACCGGCUAACUACGUGCCAGAGCCGCGGUAAUAC